rnacentral:snRNA from 1 species
AUCGCUUCUCAGCCUUUUGGCUAUACUAAGAUCAAGUAUGGUAUCUGUUCUUAUCAUUUUAAUAUCUGAUACAAAUACCAAGAAGGAAAAAAAAAAAGAAAUAUACGGGCAGAGACAAAGCUCUU